AAGGAUCUUUCGCGUGGUAGAUCCUCAUGGAAUAGCAGAUAAAGGAUUUUGUGCAUCAAUGCCCUGCAUAGUGAACCAGUUGACUGUGACCUGAGGAUGAAGUCUUUUGGGUUAUUCAGAGAGUUCUGUACAGAGUACACAUCACAUGCUCAAGAUAAACCUCAAGGCUAAGGUGUCAUCAAGGUUACUGGAAGAAAAUACUCAGCAGACAAACUGAUGCCUCAAUGGACAAAACAAAAACAAACCUUUCAAGUGAAGGCAAAGACAACAAAGCCACCAUCCAUUCCCUUGGGCUACACAACAAAAGAAUGCUGAUAAGAGCUGGAGAAAUACUGCAGGAGGAACCACAGUUUCCUCCAGAUUUGCCACGCUGGCCCCCGGGAAGAGCAGGAGAGCAGUCCCAACGUGGUGGAGGCAGAGACUAGGGCAGCGCAUGAAGGACUCGAGAGUACCCAGUGGCAGGAAGGCAGGGGAAUGAGGUAUCACCUUGUCCUCGGAACCCCUGCGCAGGCCCUGCCGCCACAUGGGAGCAAGCACAGCAGUCGAGGUAUCAGGACACCGAGGGCUAUAAACUCGACUCAGGGCUCUGCCUCCCAAGCACAAAGUGCACGCUGACCUCUUGCCUUGAUGAAAACAGAGCAAAGGGUAGACGGAUUAUCACCCUCCUGAUCCCUCAUUUCACUCCUUGAUGCUCUUCCAGUGAGGGGGUAACAGCUGGGAUUACAAAGACUUUUUUGUGGUACUUUUAAUCUACUUGCUUGUGUCUAGAAAAAAACCCUACACACUCAUAUGGAAAAAACUACGUAUAUAAUUUCUCUUUCUGCAUAUUUGACCAAAUGUGAGCCAGUUCCUUUCACAUGAAUGAAGAAGGCAAAGAUUAAUAAUAGUACUUAAACACAUGUGCAGCAUGGUGUCCAUAUUCAGAUUUUUAUGUUUCUUCAUGGAGUUGUUAAUUUUAAUGCACUGUAACUUGCACAAAGUAUUUCUUUGGCAACAGCAAAAGAAAAAAUAUCCCACAUUAUUUAUGGUGUUUCACAAAAUCUCAGUCCCACCAUUUAUAAAAAUCACAAGUUUAUAAGUGGCUUCUAGGGAUUCCUAAGGAAUUACCUUAUUAUAGGUGGAACUCAUCUGUGACUCUUCAACAGUAUUGACUAGGAGAAUAUAUAUUUUUGGUUCUGGGAGUCACUAAAGUGCUAGUCUUAUGAGAUUAAUACACUAUCAAAGUGUUAGUAUGAUGGAGAUAAGUAGUGAUUAUAAAUAUUCUGUUUGUUCUCCUACUUUUCCCAGUUAGACAGGGCCAUGUAAUGGAUGUGAGAGGAAAUGAAGUGUCACUCCUCGCCAGAGGCAAGAAAAGAUCUUGAACAAUUCUUUGGACUCUCUUAAUCUGCAGGGUUGAGAGACAAAUAUGAGAUAGUGAGGACUUGACAUUGAAGUAUCUACAUUGUAAAUCACUGCACUGAGCAGUCUCCCAGACUCUAAUGGACAUAUGAGUGAAAAAUAAACCUUUGUCAUGUAAAA